GAAGAUAAAUCAUCCUCCAGUUGUACCGAAGCGAUAACAAAAUCCUCUUCAGGCCGAACUUGCUGAUCAAUAAGUCUUGAGAGUACAUCAGCAUGACCAAAUUCACUAGUUUUGAUGUACUCAAUCCUGAAAUCGUAGGACAUAAGAUGCAACGCCCAACGCUGCAAACGAUUUGCUGAGUGCACCGAUAUGCCCUUCUUGCUUCCGAAGAUUUGCAAAAGAGGCUUAUGCAGAAGUAAGACUCCUGGCAGCAUGACAAACUGCCUUGACUGAAAAAUCCGAAAAACGGUGAAGGAUGCAAGCUCCCACUCCUUCGUUAGAGGCAUCUGCUGCCACAAUAAUCUCAUGCUUAGGAUUAUAAUGUGUGAGCAAAAGUUUAGAUGUUAAAAUCUUUUUGAACUGCUCAAAAGACUUCUGACACCGAAGAGACCACUCCCACGAACUGUCUCUCCACCUACCACCAGGUCGUCAAUGUAGGCAAAAGUAUUUGACAAACCAGAAAUUAGCGAGUCCAUGAUUGCUUGGAACUCGCCAGGAGCCACUCUAACUCCGAAAGGCAUUCGAUUAUAAACGUAAAGUCCACGAUGCGUAUUUAUGUUUGCAAGCUGUGCAAAUAUUUCAUCUGGCAGCGGCAAAGGAUGACGAUUGGGCUCAAGGGAUUCAUUGAGUCCUGUAGAGAAAUCGGCACAAAUUCUGAUCAACCCGUUCUUUUUACGAACCACAACAAUUGGAGUAGCCCACUCAGAGUACUUGAUAGGAGAUAUAAUACCGUUUUGUACAAGGCGAUCCAAUUCAGCAUCUACUUGCGGCAAGAUUGCAAAGGCAACCGGUCGUUUAGGCUUGAAAAUCGGCUUUGCAUCGGCCUUUAAAUGCAACUUAACCUUGGUUUUNGAGCAACGACCUAAACCGCUUGAGAACACAUCUUGAAAUUUAUGCUGGUAAACAUUUAUAUCAAACUGCGAAUCUUCGCUCUUGGUUAAAUAACAAAAAUCAUUUAAUGACUGAUUCCAUAUAUUGAAAGCUGAGCACCAAUCCAAACCCAUUACAUUCAAUUCCGGAUUUGAAGUGACGAAACAACGAAGUUGCUUGGUGAUUCCUUUGAACGUAACAGAACAGUUAAAUUCUUGAUUAAAAAGAAUUGAGUUAUUGGACGCAUCUCGAGCGAUGUGUGAGGUGACUGUCCCCGUUGGCUUCCCGAGAGCAGACCAAGUUGAAAAAGAAAUGACCGUAAGGUCUGACCCUGUGUCNAGUUGAAGUGUAACUGGAAAAGAGUUAAUGAGAACAUCAACAUGCUUGCGAUUCGUAACACAUUUGACUUGAUUCACAGAAUGAAUAGUCUUGACACUGGACUCCGAGCUUUCCUCGCUUGACUUAGCUUUAACUUUCUUGCUUGACGCGCAAUAUCCAUCCCUAUGACCGACGGCUUUACAUUUCUGAC